rnacentral:rRNA from 1 species
CGUAAUCAACCUGCCCUUCAGAGGGGGACAACAGUUGGAAACGACUGCUAAUACCGCAUACGAUCUAACCUCGGCAUCGAGGAUGGAUGAAAGGUGGCCUCUAUUUAUAAGCUAUCACUGAAGGAGGGGAUUGCGUCUGAUUAGCUAGUUGGAGGGGUAACGGCCCACCAAGGCGACGAUCAGUAGCCGACCUGAGAGGGUGACCGGCCACAUUGGGACUGAGACACGGUCCAA